rnacentral:rRNA from 1 species
UUUCGCAAUGCCCGAAAGGGUGACGAAGCGACGCCGCGUGUGGGAAGAAGGCCUUCGGGUUGUAAACCACUGUCGGGAGUUAGGAAAUGUAAGGGUGCUAAUAGUACCCUUGCUUGACUAAGGCUCCGGAGGAAGCCACGGCUAACUCUGUGCCAGCAGCCGCGGUAAUACAGAGGCGGCAAGCGUUGUUCGGAAUUAUUGGGCGUAAAGAGCACGUAGGCGGCCUUGUAAGUCAGUUGUGAAAGCCUUCUGCUUAACGGAAGAACAGCAGCUGAUACUGCAAGGCUAGAGUGCGGAAGGGGAGAGUGGAACUUCUGGUGGAGCGGUGAAAUGCGUAGAUAUCAGAAGGAACACCGGCGGCGAAGGCGACUCUCUGGUCCGUAACUGACGCUGAGUGUGCGAAAGCUAGGGGAGCAAACGGGAUUAGAUACCCCGGUAGUCCUAGCCGUAAACGAUGGGCACUAAGUAGAGGGGUUUUA